rnacentral:lncRNA from 1 species
GCUGGUUGAUUUGAUCGCACACGGACUGAAGGCGGUCGAUGCGGCGAGCGGCGGCUACGAUUCUGCAGCCGGCUUUAGCUAAGUCUAAGCACAACUCGCGGCCGAGGCCAGAGGAAGCGCCGGUAACCAUGACGACUUUGCCGUGGAGGUGGCUCCAGGGCUCCAGGUUGUCCGACAAUCGAUGAGGAUUCUCCAUGUUUGAUAAUCUGUACUCAACUAUGAGCUAUGAAUUAUAUAGAACAAGGAAGAAGAGACUUACAUGUGAAUGUGUGAUACUGCGAAAUCUUGACCGUUGGUGGCUUCGAUAUGGACGGUCAUGAUUUGGGGUGAUAUAUUUGUAGUUGCUGGACGAAAGCAUGUUUGGUGAGGUAGUCGGCUUGACUUGACCCACUUCGAUUAUAGGAACGGAAAGAGAUGAUAUAUUUGCAGUUGCUGGACAAAAGCACGUUUGGUGGGGUAGUCGGCUUGACUUACCCACUUUGAUGAUAGAAACUGAAAGAGAUCCGUCCGGAUCUCUUUCGCCAAGCUUACCAGAUCAAGUGAUCCAAAAUUUUGAAUUUUCAUCUAAUAGUAAAAAAUUAUUAUAGUUUUUAAGGGAUCAAAAUAGGUGGAUCGUUGAGAAAAAUAAUAUUGGAUGAGAUUAUUCAAAACCCUAUAAUAUAGAAGUUGGCCUCAUCAUCUAGUCCUUCUUGUACGUCGGAUUAUAUUGUCAUUCCUUUUACGGGGCAAGAGAUUUGACAUUUAUGGAUUAAUCAACUACGCUUCUAAACUAGGUUGGACAAACACUCCGAAACCCAAAGCGUCGGAGUGUCGAACAUUCUGACACGCCGACGCGCCUCCAACACAAGUUGAACAUGGUCAAGACACUGGUCAAGGGGCAGGGGCAUUUUUAUAAAUUGAAAAAUAUUUUGAGUCAGUUUUGAAAACAUAAAAACAUUGAAAGAUUUGGGGCAAUUUGGAAAUACAAAAACUAAAGCCUAAAGCCAACCCGUCCUAACCCAACUUCAAUCUCUUAUAUGCGCCUCCUUUCACUUCUCUUCUUCCUCUCUUCGCAACCGAUGCAGCCUCUUCUCUACGGCCUCCACUCCAGUUGCAUUCUAUUUUAGUUGGUUGUUUAAUUUGUUAUUGAGCAUAAAUAUAUAUCUCUUCUUGUUUUUUUUUUUAAAGGGAACAAUUAGUGACAAGUCACGGUUAUACACGUCUUUCGGGAGCCGAAAAGACUCACAUAGUCAUUUCAGCUUCUUCUUGUUUUAAUUAUUAUACUUGUUUUGUUUUAAUUAUUAUACUUGUAUUGUUUUAAUUAUUAUGUUUUGUGUUAUUUUAGUUAUUAUGUAUAAUGAAUGAAUUUGAUAAACACGAUUAUUUUGUUAUAUUAUAAUCCACUAUUAUUUUUAAUAUAUGCAAUAUUUACUAUAAAUUUAGGGGUGUGAUAUCUACACAUCCCUUUUUACUUUUCCCACACAUUUUUUGUUUUCUGUCAUCGGAUGUGAUAAUUGAAGAAAAUCAACGGACAUAAAUUAAUAAGGAGUGUGUGAGAAGUAAAAAGGGGUGUGCCACACACCCCUAAAUUUAUUAUAUUUUAAACAAUGUGUCCAUGUCCUAUUUUUUAAGAUUUGCCAUGUUCCUGUCGCAGUGUCGUUGUAUCCGUGUCCAUAUCCGUGCAACCUUGUAAUAGUGUAGGAUAACUAUUUUGGAGUGGGAAAUGUUUUGCCACUUUAUCCCUUUCAAACUUAAACUUGAAUUUUAACCAUUGCUUGUUAUUGACUAACAUUUUGGGAAUUCCAACUGGAUCAUCAGCUUCUAGACUCUGUAAGCCUCCACCUCCCCAAAGGAAGAAAUGGCAAACAAGUGAGUUCGAGUAUGUAGUGCAGCUACAUCAACACUUGAGCACAACAAACGUUACAUAAGAUCAACCUUUCCACCGUACGUCAGCUACAUCAUGCCUGCCUCUUUUCUUUCUUCAAACAUUGAUUCAUCGUAUCCUUACUUCUUGUGGCCAGUCGACGGGAUUUGGAAAUAUAGCAUGCUUAGUUUGCGUCAAUUUCAAUAGAGAUUCAACACAAUCCAAUCCAUCAUGUUAAAUUCAGAUAAUUUGGACCCCAAAUAGAAUUAUAACUAAAGGAAAUCUGAAGGCAAAGGUAUAGCAGGUUGAUGAAUUGUAUAAGCUCAACUCAAUGUCGAGUGAGUAUUCAUUCACUUCUUUAUAUAGAGUUACAAAAGAUAAGGUUGUUACACUUGAUAAACAUUUGAAUCAGAAAAAUAAAUACAAACAGGUUGAAUCAGAUACAAACUGACACGCCCCGACCCUGAUAUUCCCCGAAUACCAGGACCGACACGUGCUGGCCGACACCCGGGGGUGACGAAAGCCAUUAAUUGAUACAAAAGCUAAGAAUAAGAAAUAAAUACAGGUUAUGAAUUUAAAAACAAUGAAUUAACAAUUUAGGAACGUGUUCAGAGCAUACAACUAAACCUAGUCACUAACAAGAAUUAAGAUAAGAUUAAAUGAACAAAGGAGUGGGUCCUACCCCGAGAGGACUCGAAGAUGCCGCUGCGGAAGUACCUUAAUGCCAGGAUUCUAUGCCUCGUUUCUAAGACCUGAAUGGGGGCGCAAAACAAGGGUGAGUGGACCAAGUUUAUAUACAUACAUAGUACGAAAACAGUUAUGAACAUACUAACCCCCACAGUUUAAUAAUGAAAACUACUAGAAUAAUAAGUGAUAAGCUUUUCAGAAACCUUUAGCAUGCCAUAAAACAAUUCAUAUAUCCAUCUGCAAAUCAAUCUCAGAAAAUCAUAUCAGAAAUUAUCUCAGCAAUCAUGUCAGGAAGCAUAACACAAGUUGUGCUGCUAGUGAGUGCACUGAAUAACAAUACUCCCGGCCCAAUGCCUGCACCUCAGUCUCUGUGCCCGUAGCCAGAGAUAUCUCCCUCCCGGCCCAAUGCCUGUCUCCGUGUCCCUCAGCCUUUCGCUAGGGAUUAUUUCUCCCGGCCCCAAUGCCAACACCAGAUCCUCGCCCCAGGCGGCAUAGUGUUCACUAGGUACGCACAAAACAUAAUUCAUCUCUAAAAUACAACUUCGUAGCAUAAAUUCAUCGAUCCUCUAUACUACGAAGAGGUGUUCGAAAGUCAUUUGAAACACAUUCUUAGCAUCCUAUCGUCAUCGAUCAGAUAGUCUACUAGAAUGAGGGUUCUAUAGAAAAUACAAUAUAAUGAAAAUAAUUCAAAACAUAUAUAUAAUCACGUAUAAUCAAAUCAUCAUGCUUCCUGUAAAGUAUUUCUCAAAUCAAUAAUUCUGCAAGGCAUGCUAUUAAAUUAUGCAUUUCUAUCAAUAAAACAUGCAAUUUUCGAAGGUGGUCCACUCACAGAUACUCCGAAGCAGCAGAAUUGUGUGCAAAAAGAUUAAGGAAGUCUCCACUAGCAACUUCACCUAAGCACGAAAAUGUACAAUUUAAUAAACUACCCAAAAGAUAGAAUUUUAGGAAAUGGAAAUGGGUUUUGGGUUUGGGUAGGUUAGGAACAAGAGGGAGUUUUAGGCUUAAGCCUAAACCCACCCUUAUACACACACGGCACACACACCACACAUUCACACACAUACCUACACCACACAUACUCCCAGAGCUGCACCGCACAACGCACACACUGUACACUUCAUAUAGUACACAAACAUACACAACACACACGUGCACCAUACACCAACAUGCCAAACACACCCACAGACAGCAUGCACAUAUAUAUAUAUAUAUAUAUAUAUACAAAUAUACACACAGAGGCAACAUGCAUAUAUAUAUAUAUAUAGAUACAUACAUAUAAACACACACGCAUGCACAGCAUGCAUAUAUAUAUAUAAGCACACACACGCACAGCAAGCAUACUUACACACACACACACACACGGUUCACGCACACACACUUGCACAACGUACACACUGCACAAACACACACUCACGAACUCGCCGGAGUUCGUCGUCGGAACCGGACAUGCAUGCACAAGGGAUGGUAAGAGUUAGGGCUUGAAUAAGGGGUUCUAAAACUUCACAAAUAUACCUAAGAACUCACCUGGACGCACUGCAGCAGGUUUUGGGAAGAGAUGGACCUCGAACUCGUCGGAGUUCGUCGUCGGAGCUAGAUUAUUAGCACAGAGAAAAACUGAGAUCAAAACCCUUGAGUUUUGUCAUAAACUCAUCAUGCACAACCCAGAAAUUUGAAGAAGGAACACAAUCCUCACCUGGGUUCGCGUGUUAGAGCUUUGAAGCUCUCGGCUUCAAUGGCAGAAAAGUCCACAGUGCUCUGAUGGCGCAUGCAAGGGUAUCGUUGAGUUCGUUAAGUCUCAAGGAUCCCAAAUAUAUGGUUUUGGGGUUUGAUUUGUGAGGGAAGUGAGGUGAAAGCUAGAGAGAAGCUCUCGGAGCUUAGAGAGUGUGAGAAAGAGAGAGAAGAAACCGAAAGAAAGAGAGCACUGAGAUUCUCAGAUGUGUUUCGGGCAGAGAUGAAAGGAAAGAGGGAUCUGAGAGCUGCCACAUGGCAGUUUAAGAUCAAUAGCCUUUCUAGAUCAAGGGUUAGGAUUAAAAGAGAAUAAGGGACUAAAUUGAUAGAUAACAAAUAUGUUCUAGGGGAAAAUAGAAAUAGAAUGAAAAAUGGGGGUGGGGUAUAACACAAACAUAUUUGAGAGAGUUGUGCGGAUAAUGGACUGUGUUGUUAUGAUCCUUUCUGUUGCAGAUUGCAGCGGGAAGGUUGUGGUUGAAUUGGUGGUGCUGACUUGGACCUUUCUUUAGGGUUUGGAGAUUUAUCUGAACUAGGUUUGUCAAUAACCACCUUUUAAAUUUGCUAUAAUUAUAACCAAAAAUUGAUAUAGAAGUUAACAUUAAGGGGGCGUUUGUUGUACCGGACUGUCUUAGACUGGACUAGCUUCAAGGACUAAGCUGGACUGGCUUAGACUAGACUAAGCUGGAUUAACUUAGUGAAGCGUUUGGUGCAGUGUCGGACUAAAAAACAGGAUAAUUAACAAAACUGAAAAAUUAUAUUAUUUUAAAGCAUAUCUAGAAUAUUUUAUAUUAAUUCUUCCUCUCUCUUUUUUUCUUCUAGAAACCCUUUUUCUAGAAUGCUCCAUCUUCUCUGCCUCACCACUCCCCCUUUUUUCUCCAUCCGUCUCAAUCCUCUCUGCCUAUUGAUUGUUUCCUUCAGCCAUCUAUUGCUUUCAUGGAAUCCCGUUUCCAAAAAAAUCAACCAAUGAAACACCUUUCAAAAUCCCAUCUCCUUUCAUGCAAUUCCCCAGUUCUUACUAAUUACCAUUCCAUUUUCUUUUGUUUUCUCUUUCAAUUUUCUAGCCAACCAAACACCUUUCAAAAUCCCUAAUUCCAAAUAAUUGCUCACCUUGUCUGGCGUACCAGAUUCAGAUUAUGGUCCACUGAAAACAAGAGUCAAAAAUUGAAUUCCCACAACAGAACGUGACUGGUGGGGAAAGAAUCAACGGAAGCAGGGUGGUUGGUAAGUGAAAAUUAAGGGUGUUUCUAGGAGAGAGCGAUGUAUGUAUGUGUGCGAUCUGAGAUACCAAAAGACCCAGAUCGUGGAAGACCCCAAAUCACCGAACCCAGAUGAAAAAAAUCCUUAUUUUCGAGGAUUGAGAUCUUGUAAGUUGGAAUGAUGCACAAGGUUUGGAUGAGGAAGAAGAUGAAAAUGGUUGUGGGAGCGAAGAAGAAGAAGCAGGGGCGAAACGAAAGAGGCUGAGCGGAGAUGGUCUUAGCGAGCCCCGUGGUUUGUGGAGGGUCUCGCUAAGAACUUCUAGUGAGGCUUCUAAUCCACGCGAGUCCCCUUUAGUCCCAUUUAACUUAGUCCCAAUACAAACCAAACAUAGGACUGUAGUCCAGUCUAGUCCAGUCCUAGUUAAUGAGGCCAAACAAACGCCCCCUAAAGGUCUUCUGCAAGAACCAACAAGCAAAAUUAAAACGAACAUCGGGUGUCUACAUCUUAGUGACACUUAUAAGCUUCUUGUUGUUAGUAAAGGAAGGCAUUUUUCUGGUGUGGUUGCAGAAAAAUGGAUUGGGAAGGACUCUUCGAAAGUUGGGGAAGAUUUGAAGGUCUUGCUGUCACAGUCUGCUACUCGAGGGCUUGAGCAAUCACCAAGCGCUUUGUAUGAGGGGUUGGAGGAAGAAAGAAAUGCUUCUACAAUCGCUUCAGAUCAAACAAUGGCCAUGAUUACAAAACUGCAAGAGAAGAAGGCAGUCCUGUUGUGCCUUGGCCCGUUCAUUAGUGCGGAAACGAGAUUCAGAUUACAACCACACCUAAAAUCACACCCAGUUAAACAGAAUAAAAUACAAGAAAUAAAGACAACGAGAAAUUUACGAGGUUCGGCAAAAACCUGCCUACGUCCUCAGAGAGAUAUUGCUCUUCACUAUGAGAAAAACAGUACAAGUUACACAUAAGUUAAAUCGACAUAACCCAAUCCCAUAUCCCUUGUACACCCACUCACAGAAUUUUCCCAAGAGCCUCACUCUACCCCAAGAGUUCUUUCACUAGAGACCUUUCACUCUAGCUCUCUUGAUUUUUCUCACCCGUGCCCAUACUUUCCCAUGGGAGAGCCGAAUGCUCUCCCCCUUGGAUGCUCUCUCAUGCCCUCUCAAGAGAGAGCCGAAUGCUCUCUCUCUCUCUCUCCUUCUCCACUUCGGCUCCUUGCAAUUAAAUGGACAGAAAAGUGAGUUAACUUCUCCUUUUUUUCAUAGACACAAUGAUGAUCCAUCAUGCUCCCUUUUCUCAAAACCCAAAACCACUUUCGGCAUGCAAAUGGGAAAUGAAUAAAAAAUGCCAAAACAAAAGGAAUCCCAUGAAACAUCAUCAUUGUCUUCCACUAUUAGCCAAAAUGAGAUAUGGACAUAUUUGGCCACUAUUCCGAAAGCAUAACACACAAAGUCACUUAAUUGUUAACAGCUCAAAAUAUGAGCCAAUCACAACAAUCUCCACCUUGGCGAAUACACCAUGCAAAAAUCCUUGCACCCAUCACCAAAGUCCAUUGGCCUUACGUACCAGCAUGCACACUCUGAAUCCACCUCAUUGGUCCUGUUCCGAUUCAGUCACUGCCAAUGCAUGUGAAGCUGCUGCAAGCUAAAAAUCACAAUUUAGCUUCAGACAGGAUCUCGACACAUCCUCGUCUCCUCCAACAGUUUUUUUUUCCCCUUCUUUAUUGUCUGCAACUUGGAAACUCGUCAGUGCACCCGUUUCCAGCAACAACCCAUCGAGCCAGACAAAAUUCCCCACACUUCUCUUCCUUCAGGACCAUCUCAUCACCUGUGAAUCCCUUAGCUCCACCUGCUGCAAAUCCCUUGCAACACUCGAGACUAAACAUCACCAAGAGAAGUGUUGCUUCGAGUACCUAGAGGGCAUACUCGAAGUCUUCCACCACAAACUUGCUACAACUCGGUCUAGCACCUGUAGCACUGUGGACCCUUGCCUCCGGAACCGGAUCUGAACCUGCUGUCUCUCUCAGAUCCUCUUUCCAAUUUUCUUCCACGAUUCCAACCUUUAAUAACUUAAGGAGUCUUGUGCCCACCAUUAUCCAUGGUCUCCUUUGUGUAUCAUUCCACACCAAAGAAGCUUGCACCUGCUCCAAACUUACUGUAACUUUCCAUGCAGUAAAGUUUCACAAGGUUAUAAGACAAAUCUGAAAGUGAGGUAAGAAGAAAGAGGCCUUUGUCUUCUUCCUCAACAUCAACUUUCGUAGUUGAUCUAAGCAUCCCUGAACACGGCUUCCAUUUCUUCAGGCUUCCAUUACUCUCCAUUACCAAGAGUAAAAUUGCCUCUCCCUUUAAACUGCUCAACUGAAAAUUCCAUGGUGAACAACAAAUCUGGACCUCCAACGAACCAAGCUUCCAACGAGCUCUGAUACCAAUUGUUGUGCCUUGGCCCGUUCAUUAGUGCGGAAACGAGAUUCAGAUUACAACCACACCUAAAAUCACACCCAGUUAAACAGAAUAAAAUACAAGAAAUAAAGACAACGAGAAAUUUACGAGGUUCGGCAAAAACCUGCCUACGUCCUCAGAGAGAUAUUGCUCUUCACUAUGAGAAAAACAGUACAAGUUACACAUAAGUUAAAUCGACAUAACCCAAUCCCAUAUCCCUUGUACACCCACUCACAGAAUUUUCCCAAGAGCCUCACUCUACCCCAAGAGUUCUUUCACUAGAGACCUUUCACUCUAGCUCUCUUGAUUUUUCUCACCCGUGCCCAUACUUUCCCAUGGGAGAGCCGAAUGCUCUCCCCCUUGGAUGCUCUCUCAUGCCCUCUCAAGAGAGAGCCGAAUGCUCUCUCUCUCUCUCUCCUUCUCCACUUCGGCUCCUUGCAAUUAAAUGGACAGAAAAGUGAGUUAACUUCUCCUUUUUUUCAUAGACACAAUGAUGAUCCAUCAUGCUCCCUUUUCUCAAAACCCAAAACCACUUUCGGCAUGCAAAUGGGAAAUGAAUAAAAAAUGCCAAAACAAAAGGAAUCCCAUGAAACAUCAUCAUUGUCUUCCACUAUUAGCCAAAAUGAGAUAUGGACAUAUUUGGCCACUAUUCCGAAAGCAUAACACACAAAGUCACUUAAUUGUUAACAGCUCAAAAUAUGAGCCAAUCACAACAAGUCCUCCAUAUGGAAGCACUCCAGCAACUAAGAAUGAUGGAAGAGCAAGCUGAGUACGAUAAUGAAGCGCUGCAAAAGACAGACAACUUCUUGUCGAGAAGGAGAAGGAAAUACAAGAUUUAGAAGCAGAGCAGAAGGCACUCCAUGCAUACUGAGAGUUUCUUGAACACACGAUUAACCCGAUUCUCAUUUCUCUUCAAUAUUUAGCAUACCCUAGACAGAAUUGCACCGUUACAGUUUGAAGUUUGCUUUCUAAGUAUUCUUCUCUCUAACAUUUGCUGAAAUUGGUAUUCUGUCAAGUUUUCUGUUUUGAUAUCAAUUGUGAAGAAUGAAAUUCCAAAACAUUUUAUCAUACUUGCUUAGGCUAUGUGUUCCUCAACAAGCAUGCAAGCCAAGCUAAGGUAAGCUACCAAUGUUAUGUGAGACCUACUUCAUACAAGACAACGAGAUGACAGCAAGAGGAGAAUGCACGAGAGAAAAACUUGAAACCGAAAACAACUUCAAAUGUUUUUCGAUUUUGAUUUCUAGUUCUCAUGCACUGUACCAUUUUGUCGUAUACAUUUCUUCCACCAUCCUUCCUCCACUCAUCUUCAUACUUCAUUUUUUAUUUUUGUCUUCAAGUAGGCAUUCUACGGCUAAUGUGUUGGAAAAAGUUAUGAAAAUUUGCUAUAUAUUUUAUUAUAAAUUAUUAAAUAAUACACAAUAAAAUCUCUAUAAAUGCAAGAAGAACAAGGAAUGGAAGAACCUUAAGAGAUUGAGGGUAGAAUUUGAUUCUAUAACCUUAAGACAAGAUUGCCCCUCAGUGGUGCCUCAAGGUUUGCGUUGGCAAAUGUCUCUCAGGAUACAAUGAUCUUUCUCUUUGCGGAAGUAGCACUCGAAUCCACAAAGAACAGCGAACCAAAAGUGUUUAAAACUCUCUCUUUGUUGAACACUAAACUACUCUAAUUUCUAUAUGAUUUCUGAAUGCAAAGCAUAUUUAAAAUGCUUGACUUGGUGGUCUAUUUAUAGGCUUUGGCAUGCCCCUUUUCCAAAGGUUGUAUCUGCUUCCAAAAGGCAAAGGACGCAACCCUUAUUCAAGAUUACAUCUGCAACCGAAACACAAGGGUUGCGUUUGAUUUCUCAUAAGACAAAGAUGCAACCUUUUCCAAAGUUGCAUCUGUUUUCAAACUGACAAAGGUUGUGACCUUUGUUCAAACAUGCAUAACCCUUGAAAACUGCCGGUCAAACCCAUCCAUGACUAUUUUAAUUUCCAUUUUAAUUUCCAUUCACUUGAACAUUAAAAUUUAAAUAUUAAUAAUACUAAUAUUUAAAUAUUAAAUUUCUAACAUAAUGAAGAAAAAACUGUAAACAGUAAACUAAAAAAUGCACAUAGAAACCUAAUAGUAAGCCAACAAAAAUGAAUUCAGCCGUACAUUCUAUUAUUCUUGAAUCUUCAACUUGCCAGGGGUGGUACAAUAUAUAUUUGUUGUACGUUUGUUUAUUUCUCUACUCUUUUUUGUUCCACAUGAAAAUAAAUCUACAUGAAAAUUCAGAGGGAAGAGAAAAUAGGAACACCCGGCAAGGAGGUUCCUGCAUCAACAAUAUAAAUGUUGCCAGAGACAUAUUCAGAAGAGUCAUGUACCAAAUAUCGAACUAGCGAUGUCAAUGCUGGAUCUGAAGUGCCAAAUGUUCUUAAAGGGACAAUUUUCAUAGCCACAUUGUGCAGCCAGUCUUUUUGCAUAAGACGCUCCGUAAUUUCCGAUCUGAAAAGUCCAAGUGAUAUUGCAUUCACUCUGAUUUUGUGUACCCCCAGCUCCAUAGCCAUAGUCUGGUUAACAUAACAAGAUUCAGUAUAGUACCAUAGAAGCUUUCACCUACACUACCAAGUGCAGAGAACUACAGAACAUAUUCCUUAGGAGAAUACUCAUAAUCAAAUAUAGAUAAUGACACUUAUAAGAGAAGAAGAGAAGAAGAAAAGAAUAAGCAAAGGUAGUGUCGGUGACAUGACAAAGUUGAGGAUAAAAUCUUAAAAUGGCAACUGAUAAACCAGCAGUUAAAAUGUAAAACUUCGUUUGAAGUUAGACCAUCAAUUCAUAUGUCAUUCCCAGAAAUCCUCCGGUGCAACAAAAAGCAAAAUGUGGUUGAGUGCGAUAACACGUUGGUCAAAACAGUCUGUUGGUUAUACGACAAUAGAGCCGCUCGGACCAUGAGCUUGUGAUAACCACAGCCUUGCGUCAACACACUUUAUUGACGGAUGAUAACAGCACAUGAAGAUGACAAGCAUUUUGGCAAUCAGACUUAGAACUAACGAACUAAAGAGACCAAGAAUCAAAACCGGCUUAUAAUGGGGGUGAUAGAAUUUGGGUCGACAAGCCAAGGACCCCACUCCAACAACACUGAUAUUGUCCCCAACUUGGUAAUUACCACUUGCCCAAUCCAUCAGGUGUGGGAUUUUAUCACAAAAGGUCUCAGUACUAGUUAGAGUAGGGUAAUCAUAUUUAAACUAUUUUCUUUCUUCUUUCCCUCACCUAUGUGGGAUAGCCAACAGGGGGCAUAAGAGAAAAUACACGGUAUAGCCCAUAGGCCCACUAGCAAUAUUCCUCCACUAGACUAAAAAAGAACUAAAAUACUCCUAGGCUGAUUUCGGUCCUAAGUCUAUUUUUCCCAGGAAACUGUUAUUGACACUCCAAAAAAGUCAUCUCGUACAAUUUAUGCCUUAUAUUUCCCAGGAGGCAGGCAUCCCUUCAAGUUCUUAUAUUUCAUUUAUAGACCAAAAGUAACAAAAACAUAAUUCCUUUUCCUUACGCAAUUAAUAUGAUUUUCCCGAUUAGCAUGUUAAAGAUAAUACCUUUGUUAAGGUGUUUACACCAGCCUUUGAACAAUUGUAUGCUGUAGCUCCAGGCGCAAAUCCACGAUUAAGACCAGUAAUGGAAGAUAUAUUGACGAUUGACCCUCCCUGAUCAGCAUCUCGCAUGCGUAUAGCAACAAACUUUGAUACCAACCAGGAACCCGUCAAAUUUGUCCUGAAAACAUUAUUCCAUUCCUCCUCAGACAGUUCCAAUGGAGAACUCACAUUACCUAAGAAACACAGAUGGUAGUAAGCAUUUAUGAUACACCAACACAGACCUAUAGACCAACUAGUUGUGUGUGCCUGUGAGGUCAACAAUUGGUGAUUAGUACGGGACAGGAAUCAGGAUUGGGACUGAGUCUAGUCCAGUCCGAAUCCGAUAGUCCCACCCGCACUCCCUGUAGAGGUCAGAGGUAGAGGGUACAUGAUGAUGUUGUAUACAAUACUUGGGACAGUCGUCCCAUUCAAUAGUCCAGUAUCGUCAUUGUUAAGUUCAUGAACUGAAAGUAAUUUGCAUUACCAAAAAUAUAAUUGUAAAACAAAGGUAUAUUUGUCAAUUCCCCCCUCCCCUGAAGGUUUAGGAAGAAAUUUGAGGACAAUCCGUCAAAUACCUCUAAAACAAAUAACAUGAAAGGCAGAAAGCCAAGCCAAACCAACCUCUAAUACCGGCAUUGUUAACAAGGGCAUCGAUGAGCCCAAACGCGUCCCAAGCCUUGUUCACGGACUUCUCGAUAGCUGAACCAUCGGCGCUGACAUCCAGCUCCACAGCCACAGCCCUCGGGCCUCCUCCAGGCCCAUUAUCAGCAACAGAAGAUGGUGAAGAAGGAGCGGUGAUGGAGAGCUGGUUGAUUUGAACGCACACGGACUGAAGGCGGUCGAUGCGGCGAGCGGAGGCUACGAUUCUGCAGCCGGCUUUAGCCAAGUCUAAGCACAACUCGCGGCCGAGGCCAGAGGAAGCGCCGGUGACCAUGACGACUUUGCCGUGGAGGUGGCCCCAGGGCUCCAGGUGGUCCGACACUCGAUGAGGAUUCUCCAUGUUUGAUAAUCUGUUGUCAACUAUGAGCUAAGAAUUAUAUAGAACAAGGAAGAAGAGACUUCCAUGUGCAUGUGUGAUACUGCUAAAUCUUGACCGUUGGUGGCUUCGAUAUGGACGGUCAUGAUUUGGGGUGAUAUAUUUGCAGUUGCUGGACGAAAGCAUGUUUCGUG